AACGAACGCUGGCGGCAUGCCUAACACAUGCAAGUCGAACGCCCUCUUCGGAGGGAGUGGCGCACGGGUGCGUAACGCGUGGGAACCUGCCCUUAGGUUCGGAAUAACUCAGAGAAAUUUGAGCUAAUACCGGAUAAUGUCUUCGGACCAAAGAUUUAUCGCCUUUGGAUGGGCCCGCGUUGGAUUAGCUAGUUGGUGGGGUAAAGCCUACCAAGGCGACGAUCCAUAGCUGGUCUGAGAGAUGAUCAGCCACACUGGGACUGAGACACGGCCCAGACCUCCUACGGGAGGCAGCAGUGGGGAA
rnacentral:rRNA from 1 species